GAUGAAGAACGUAGCGAAAUGCGAUAAGUAAUGUGAAUUGCAGAAUUCAGUGAAUCAUCGGAUCUUUGAACGCACAUUGCGCCCGCGAGUAUUCUCGCGGGCAUGCCUGUCCGAGCGUCAUUUCAACCCUCAGGGCCCGCCUGCUUCGGCAGGCGCGGCGCUGGUGUUGGGGAUCGGCCUAACCGCCGUCCCCCAAAUACAGUGGCGGUCUCGCUGCAGCCUCCCCUGCGUAGUAGCAACACUCGCAUGCGGAGCGCGGCGCGGCCACGCCGUAAAACCCCCGACUUUCUGAACGUUGACCUCGGAUCAGGUAGGAAUACCCGCUGAACUUAAGCAUAUCAAUAAGCGGAGGA
rnacentral:misc_RNA from 1 species